GACGAACGCUGGCGGCGUGCCUAAUACAUGCAAGUUGAGCGAUGAAGAUUGGUGCUUGCACCAAUUUGAAGAGCAGCGAACGGGUGAGUAACGCGUGGGGAAUCUGCCUUUGAGCGGGGGACAACAUUUGGAAACGAAUGCUAAUACCGCAUAACAACUUUAAACAUAAGUUUUAAGUUUGAAAGAUGCAAUUGCAUCACUCAAAGAUGAUCCCGCGUUGUAUUAGCUAGUUGGUGAGGUAAAGGCUCACCAAGGCGAUGAUACAUAGCCGACCUGAGAGGGUGAUCGGCCACAUUGAGACUGGGACACGGCCCAAACCCCUACGGGAGGCAGCAGUAGGGAAUCGUCGGCAAGGGACGAAAGUCUGACCGAGCAACGCCGCGGGAGUGAAGAAGGUUUUCGGAUCGUAAAACUCUGUUGGUAGAGAAGAACGUUGGUGAGAGUGGAAAGCUCAUCAAGUGACGGUAACUACCCAGAAAGGGACGGCUAACUACGUG
rnacentral:rRNA from 1 species